GCCCUUAACUCUGGGAUAAGCCUGGGAAACUUGGGUCUAAUACCGGAUAGGAGCGCCUACCGCAUGGUGGGUGUUGGAAAGAUUUAUCGGUUUUGGAUGGACUCGCGGCCUAUCAGCUUGUUGGUGAGGUAAUGGCUCACCAAGGCGACGACGGGUAGCCGGCCUGAGAGGGUGACCGGCCACACUGGGACUGAGACACGGCCCAGACUCCUACGGGAGGCAGCAGUGGGGAAUAUUGCACAAUGGGCGCAAGCCUGAUGCAGCGACGCCGCGUGAGGGAUGACGGCCUUCGGGUUGUAAACCUCUUUCAGUAGGGAAGAAGCGAAAGUGACGGUACCUGCAGAAGAAGCACCGGCUAACUACGUGCCAGCAGCCGCGGUAAUACGUAGGGUGCGAGCGUUAUCCGGAAUUAUUGGGCGUAAAGAGCUCGUAGGCGGUUUGUCGCGUCUGUCGUGAAAGUCCGGGGCUUAACCCCGGAUCUGCGGUGGGUACGGGCAGACUAGAGUGCAGUAGGGGAGACUGGAAUUCCUGGUGUAGCGGUGGAAUGCGCAGAUAUCAGGAGGAACACCGAUGGCGAAGGCAGGUCUCUGGGCUGUAACUGACGCUGAGGAGCGAAAGCAUGGGGAGCGAACAGGAUUAGAUACCCUGGUAGUCCAUGCCGUAAACGUUGGGCACUAGGUGU
rnacentral:rRNA from 1 species